GCAGGAGCUGUAUGUGGAUACAGAAUCUUAUGUGGCACUUCAAGAGGCCUUUUUCUCCCACAGACAGCAUGAGGGAGAGACUCUGUUAGGGUUUUCAUUGGCAUUAAUGAGUCUGAUGACAUCUGUUAAGCAGCGUGCACCUAAUGGUGUCCCAAAUGCAGAGGUUUUGUUACGUGAUCAGUUUGUUGAGUGUGUGUUUGAUGGGUCACUUCGGCGUGAGUUGAAGCAGUUUGUGCGCCGGCAGCCUACCGCUACCUUGUUGGAGGUUAGGGGUGAGACAAUUAGAUGGGAACGAGAGGGUUUACCUGGAGGGAAGAGUGAUUGUGUUU